UUUAGAUUUGCUCUAAACCUAAAUUAAAAGUGGUGUAACAGUGAGUAUUAGAUUUUUUGGCCUACCUUAAAGAAAAGUUAAAUACUUUAUAUACCAAAAGGGAUAUAGUGAUGGUAAAUCUUAUUGCCAUCAGUCCGCUUUAAGAGGAAAAUAAAAAUCACAGGGAUAGGUAGUUGUUAAGGUAAUGGCUUAACAAGCCUUAAUUCUCUUAGUCGAGGCUUAAAAGGUCGAUCGACCACAUUGGGGAUGAAAAAAUCCCAAGGCAAAUACGUACAGCAGUGAGGAAUAUUGGUCAAUGGCCUAACGGCUGAACUGGUAACUUGGAGGAACGGAGGUCCUCGAACUUCUCAAUGAAGGUAGAGGGCGAUUAUAUUGAUGAAAUCGAAUAUAGUUCUGUAUGCAUAUUGAUAAUGACAAUAUGUACAAAUGUCUUGACCAAUUACGUGCCAGCAGUCGCGGCAAUACGUAAGAGACUAGUGUUAAUCAUCUUUAAUAGGUUUAAAGGGUACUCAGACGGGAGAAUUCGCCUCAAAAAGGGACAAUUUUCCUAGAGUUUUAUGUAAGAAGAUCGUACUCUAGAGUGUAGAGAUAAAAUUCGUUGAUACCUAGGGGACUGGUAAAGGCGAAGGCAAUCUUUUAUGUAAAAACUGACGUCGAAGGACGAAGGCUUAGGAAGCAAACAGGAUUAGAUACCCCAGUAGUCUUAGCAGUCAAUGAUGAAUGCCAUAGGUUAGAUUAUGUAGUAGAUAUAUCUGAUGUAAGUAAUGUAAAUUACAUUACACAGAUUCAGUUUAUGGUUGUACUAAAGAACAGUAUGGUACCGCACCCAGCGGUGCGGUACAAUAUUGUAAAGUAUUAACUAUAAUACUGCUACUACUGCCACGUUGUGGCAUAUUAGUAUAUAUAUAUGAAUGUUAUCUGGCCUAUAAAUGAAAGUGUAAGCAUUUCACCUCAAGAGUAAUGUGGCAACGCAGGAACUGAAAUCACUAGACCGUUUCUGACCCAAGCAGUGAAGUAUGUUAUUUAAUUCGUCAACACACGAAAAACCUUACCACAACUUGAAUAUUUAUAGUCCAUAUAUAUACAUAUAUGCUAUAAAUACAGGAGUUGCACGGCUGUCUUCAGUUAAUGUUGUGAAACUGUGGUGAAACUCCAUAGGGAAUUAGCGUAAGCCCUGACUUUAUUUAUAAAAAUAAAAUAAAGUAAUUAGCCUGCAAUUCGCGGGUGUGAAAAAGGGGAGUAAGACAAGUCAUCAUGGCCUUAAUGUUGUGGGCUAUAGACGUGCCACAUUUUCCUAUACAAAGAGAUGCGAAAGUGCGAAUUUUAGCGAAUCUCACAAAAUAGGAUAAAAUUAGAUAUGGAUUGUAGUCUGAAACUCGACUGCAUGAAUAAGAAAUUGCUAGUAAUCGUGGAUCACCAUGACACGGUGAAUAGUUCUUCGGAUUGGUACUAACCACUCGUCACAUGCUGAAAUUAGUCUACACAAUAAGUUUGCUUUACUGUACUAAGUAAGUAAAUAUAUAAGUAUUUAGAUGUUAGAACAGUAA
rnacentral:rRNA from 2 species